GUCCCAACUGUUUACCAAAAACAUAGCCUUUAGCUUUACAAGUAUUAAAGGUCCCGCCUGCCCAGUGACUUUUUAAACGGCCGCGGUAUCCUAACCGUGCAAAGGUAGCAUAAUCACUUGUCCCCUAAAUAGGGACUGGAAUGAAUGGCUAAAUGAGGAC